ACCGUGUAUCUACAGGUCCUUACAUACAUACUCGUAUUUGUUAAAUAUAUAAGAGUAUGAUAUUAGUGUCAUAUUUAUAAACAUUCCGCCAGUAAACACACGAUAUUGACCACAUAUUUAGCUCUUGCCUUUUCUGACUCGGCUAAUUCCGCACGUAUGCGGAUUGCGCCCCCGCGUCGGUUGGGCGUGAGGAGGGUAAUCGUUGGGUUAUUAUUAUUAACUUGUGGUUUUUAUUUCAAGAUAAGUUCAUGACAUCUUUAUAAUAUGCAAAUAAUUCUCAUGAAGAAUGAAGAUUGAAAUAAAUCUGAUGUAACUUUUCUAAGAGAUAUAAGCAUAUGAACGUACAAAAUGUCGGUAGCGAUUUCUAAAUAAAUAAUCUUAUGCAAGCCUAAGUUUAUGAUUGGCAUUAUUCAUGGUGACUACUAAGGGAAAAAUUUCAGCUAGGUUAAGAACUGAAAAUAUUUAUGAAAUGUGAAAUUGUCGUUAUGGAAACUUACGUGCUCUUUUAUUCAGUAUAAAAUAAUAAUAUUUCGAAGCGGAUGUACGUGUGAAAAAAUUCACAUAUUAAUUAUACAUAAAUAUGAUGUGAAUAUAUCAUCAUCAAGUUCUGAAAUUGGACGUCGACAAUAGUUUGACUAUACGGAGCUUCGAUUGUUCAUUUGGUUUAAAUAAAAAUUGUAUGCCAAUUAUGGCAUGCUAUCAAUAUUCUUCGCACACAUCGUAGUCCAAACUAAUAAAGCAGAUAUUGGAAAUAUAAACAGCCGGAUAAAGUAACCUUGAAAACGUUUUCACUCGGCAACUCAAAAUAGCAAUUCGUUUUAGAUAGCAGAAUAGUGAAAAUAUAUCGGUAAUUGCUAAAUUUCAAGCCACAUUCCUGCAAAUAUUUAGAACUUUACAAGGUACGGGCACUUUAAUCUGGAAGGAGGCAGGGCGGACGCAUUAAAUGAAAGAUUAAUUAAUUAAAACCUACACACAACCGCACAUAGUAUGCACACCACACAUAGAAAGACAUGUGUAUGAGAAAUUGGAAAUAAGAUGUUUUUAUCAUUAACCGCGCCACUCAAAUCAGCCUUCAGCAUUUAAAGGUAACCGAAAUGAAAAUUAAAACGAAAUACACGCAUAACAUUCAACGUAAUGGAAAGGUAAGUCUGCGUAGGAACGUGAAGCACCAGCCACGUGAGCUCUGGUCGAAGCGUGUCGUAAGAAUGUGUGCAAUUUCGCUGAGCUUGUAACAGGUUCACGCCACACUUGACAGCUCAUGUGGCAUGAGAAAAUCGAUGCGGCAUUGUAAAUUAUAGACGCGAAAAUGCGCGAUUCAGCGAAAUGGAAACAAAACAUACAAAUAGCAAUAAAAACAAUCGAAAAAUACUACAGCAUUAAGUAAAAGCACAAAAAUAAAACCAUACAAACUUUGGACAUGGAAUAAACAUUUUACUGGACCUGUGCUCAAUUUUCUAGCGAUGCGCUAUGAAAUGCGUUGUUGUGUGGAAAAGCUGAUUUUAAAAAUAUACAUUUUGUUGUUAUGCAAAAAUGAGCUCAUUGGCUCUUUUGGCCAAAAAUAAUCAUUAUUACAUACAUACAUACAUACUCGUACAUUACUGAUUUUCUAUUAAUAUAAAAAUGUAUAUAAUUUGUGUAUAUCGUUACAACUCACUGUAAUCUGAAAGCGAAGAUAAAAUCACAUCUGUUGGCACUUAGUAAAUACAUUUAUAAGGAAAUGCAAGAUUCAUAAAUGUGUUCUAUAUUUGGAAAUAUACAUACAUAUAUACCAUACAUGUUUGGCCAAUCGAAA